AGCGUAGACGGUGUGGCAAGUCUGAUGUGAAAGGCAUGGGCUCAACCUGUGGACUGCAUUGGAAACUGUCAUACUUGAGUGCCGGAGGGGUAAGCGGAAUUCCUAGUGUAGCGGUGAAAUGCGUAGAGAUUAGGAAGAACACCGGUGGCGAAGGCGACUUUCUGGACGAAAACUGACGCUGAGGCGCGAAAGCGUGGGAGCAAACA
rnacentral:rRNA from 1 species